UACAGAGGUCCCGAGCGUUGUUCGGAUUUAUUGGGCGUAAAGGGUGCGUAGGCGGCGGAGUAAGUUGGGUGUGAAAUCCCGGGGCUUAACCUCGGAAUGGCAUUCAAUACUGCUUCGCUAGAGUACUGGAGAGGAGGCUGGAAUUUACGGUGUAGCAGUGAAAUGCGUAGAUAUCGUAAGGAAGGCCGGUGGCGAAAGCGAGCCUCUGGACAGUUACUGACGCUGAUGCACGAAGGGCCAAGGGGAGCAAACGGG
rnacentral:rRNA from 1 species